rnacentral:rRNA from 1 species
AUGGCAGCCGCGGACUGGUCCUCGCUCCCGUGCGACCUCGUCCGCCGCAUCGCCGACUGCUUCCUCGCCGCCAACGACGUGGACUACUACAUGGACCUCCGAGCCGUCUGCGGCAGCUGGCGCUCCGCCACCGACGACCCCAAGGACAGCCCGGACGACCCUCGCUUCCGUCCCCGGCAGUGGGUCGUGCUCGACGACGACGUCUUCCGGAGAGAGCACACGCGCCUCCUGGUGAACACCCACACUGGCCGCUCCCCCCGCAAGGAGCUCCCUCUGCUCGGCGGCCACCGCUACCGGCACGUCGCCACCACUCCCGGUGGAUUCUUCGUGCUGGCGGACUACGACGACUACGACGCCGCUCGCGUCCUCAACCCUUUCACAGGCCACAUGAUCCAUUUCAGGGCGACCGUGCCCUCUGACACGGUGGAUGUCGCCGCUGUCAUCGGGUCAGCCCCCACCCUCGUCUUGCUCUGCGACUCGGAUCGUAAGCGGUACGUGGCUGGCUCCGACAGUAGAAGUUUUGCCGUGUACCAAGAGGAGGACGCCUACCCGCUGAUCCGGCUGGCAGUCGCCGGCGGCAUGUAUGCUGACGGCGAGCAGAGACCGCUGCCGCCGCUGCCAGCUGCUGUGGCCGGCGAGGUCUUUCAUCUGAUGAGGGUGUUCUCCGUUGAGCCGUCCGAGAUGUUCUGGUCUGAUGUUGUCGAGCAUGUUGUCGACGAUGCUCCUGCUCCUGAGAUUGAGCAUGCAAACAACAACCGCUGCUACCUGGUUUUCAGGAUGGACGACUCUAACCGGGGUGUGCUCGAGCCCGUGAAGAGCAUCGGUCGCCACGCCAUCUUCGUCGGCUGCUGCAGGUGCCUGGCUGUUGAUGCCGAUAAGUUCCCAUCUGUUGAGGCCAAUUGCAUCUACCACCUAGUAGGUAUGAAUCCAUACGGUGAUUUCUACUUCCAUGACGUCUACAAGUUUGACCUCGAGGACGGGACAGAAGAGAUGGUCGCUGAAGCCAUAAGUUGGUCAGACCCCAUCACACGGAGGGAUGCUGACCCUCCUUUCACAGCCGUUCAGCUCCUCUCCAGCUACACCAUCAACGUCCGGGGUUCUGAACUUGUGAUUCCGGAAACGUGUCGAGUAGAUAUUGAUCAGUUGGUGGAGGAGUUCUUCUCAACUGAGGAUAAGGAAUUCUUCGCAAUGUUUCCUCUGCAGUUAGGUUAA